GGGUGAAGUGAUGGCAGUCAUCUUUUGGCACCGACUUGAAAUGAAAAGAAUACUCAUUGCUGAUCACUU